CGGGUCCUUUCUCAUCAGUGACGAGAGAGAGCAGACCAUGGUCCAAUAGUCUUGUUUCAGACAUUGGAAAUCACUAUCCGCAGAAAUUUCUCCCUCGAAAACUCGAAGAAGAUGUUAUCCAUGGCAAUUCAAUCUGGUGUUAGGAGUGUUUUCACGCAAUUCCCAUUUCCUUGUCAGACCAUCAGUUGCAAGAGAAUCAAAACUAGCAUUUUCAUUGGUCCCAAACCCAAUGCAGCCAUUAUUGACCCAAAAAUCAGACCCAUUUCCAGAAACCAAAGAUUAAAAGGUUUUGCAGCGCCAGAAGCUCUGGCGGCUAAAACAACCAAUGAAGCAGAAGAAACCACGGAAGUGGAAGAAGAACCAAUCCCUGACCAAGGAAAAGAGAGAGUUGAAGUGUCGGUGAAGCAAGCGGAUAAACCAAGGCUGGUGCUGAAGUUCAUAUGGAUGGAGAAGAAUAUUGGGCUGGCUCUUGAUCAGGUAAUUCCUGGACAUGGUACUGUUCCCUUGAGUCCAUACUACUUCUGGCCAAGAAAGGAUGCAUGGGAAGAGCUCAAGACCACUCUAGAGAGC
rnacentral:misc_RNA from 1 species